CCUACGGGAGGCAGCAGUGAGGAAUAUUGGUCAAUGGGCGCGAGCCUGAACCAGCCAAGUCGCGUGAGGGAAGACGGUCCUAUGGAUUGUAAACCUCUUUUGUCGGGGAGCAAAAGACGCCACGCGUGGCGUUCCGAGAGUACCCGAAGAAAAAGCAUCGGCUAACUCCGUGCCAGCAGCCGCGGUAAUACGGAGGAUGCGAGCGUUAUCCGGAUUUAUUGGGUUGAAAGGGUGCGCAGGCGGAAGACCAGGUCAGCGGUAAAAGUGAGAGGCUCAACCUCUUCGAGCCGUUGAAACUGGUUUUCUUGAGUGAGUGAGAAGUAUGCGGAAUGCGUGGUGUAGCGGUGAAAUGCAUAGAUAUCACGCAGAACUCCGAUUGCGAAGGCAGCAUACCGGCGCUCAACUGACGCUCAUGCACGAAAGUGUGGGUAUCGAACAGGAUUAGAUACCCUAGUAGUC
rnacentral:rRNA from 1 species